rnacentral:tRNA from 1 species
AGGAAGUUAUAUUAAAUAAGUACUGCUAACACUUAUUACCACAGUUUAAGCCUGUGGCUUCCUC